UUUCCGUCUGUGAUUGGAAGCGUGCCAAUGACAUGUUCGAGUAUUACCACUUGUAUCGUCUCAAUACUCUGUCUUGCAGGUGAGACCCAAGGGUAUCCACCGCCGACAGCAGUGACUAAUCCUUUUCGCCGCGGGAGCUCUCCCAAUGGAGGUAAACGGCUGGCCACGAAAUGCGCUCCAUUCCCAUGGGCGGGGAUCGAACCCCCAACCUCAUGGUUAAGGAAUGAGGUGACCUACCACCACACCACAUCUCAUAGUUGUCCUUUUUUCAAUAAAGCUAAUGGUUAUUUAUUUCUUAAAUUGUCUAUAAUACCCUUGUAAUCAUGACACAACAUUUUUUUUAUAUUUCUCUAUAAUUAUCGUAUGGUUUUUAUAUUA